CUUGCUUCCUAGAAUAUUAUUCUAUUGUUCAUUUCGGUUUAUUCACUUAAAAUAUUUUCAUUAAUUUUUGAACUGAUCCGGAGACAGAUGUAGCCUGACUCUGCUGUUACUGAAAACUGGAAUAUGCAAUGAUCUCAGAGACUGGCUCUCUUCUCUCACACUUUAAACACCCGUAAUAGCAACCACAAUUGGCAUUUGCUUUUUGAUUUAGGGUGAACCAGGGUUAAAUGGUGUUAAGGACUGAAGGGUGAACCAGGUCAAAGGGUGACAGAGGACCCCUUGGUCUCCCAGGUACAGAUGGUCCUGUGGGACCCCAUGGCCCCGCCGGCCCCAAAGGAGAAAGAGGAGAAAAAGGAGCUGUGGGAGAGCCAGGACCCAGAGGGCCCUACGGCCUGCCUGGUCCGGAUGGAUUACCCAUGCCCGGCUGCUGGCAGAAGUGAUGAAUUAACUUUCCAAGCAUGAAGUUGUAUAUAUUAUGGUCCACUUUCUAUAUUUAUAGUUGAAAACCGAACUGCAGAUUUUACAAGUCUGAGCUAUGUUUACAUAGAGCUGCUUCUUCCUGUGUGCUAUAGUACACACGCAUCAUUUCUCCACUUGCAUCCGAAAUUGGGCAAUUUAGGGAACCAGUGAGAAGCCUGCAAAGAAUAUAGACCAGUGUCCCUUACAUGAGGAUAUGUAUUUAUACGGACUUCAGUGAUAGACAGUGAAUGUUCUUGCUAUUUUCUUACUUUGAGCAUUGCAUGGGCUAAAAGCUCCAUGAAAUCGCUUACAUGAAAUUGUGACCAAAUAUGGACUCAAGGCUACGAAUGUGUACUAUUCCGACUGAUUUGUCUGUUGUCACCUCCACUCACCUUCCCUCCUAGCAUUGGCACCACUGAAUCUGACUAAAGAAAGCAUGCGUGUGCGCCCAACCUGCUUGCUGUGCAAACCCAGAUGGUUGCAUGCUGCCUGACCACCCCCUGCAGGCUCAUCUGAGCUUAUUCCUUUUGUCGUCUCAAGGGGGUUACACCAUGGCUUAUUGCCAAAAAGAGAUAAGUUGGCGGAGAGCACACACACGGUUGGUCUGAUAUUUUGAGGGCGUUGCAGAUCUACAGCUUCUGGUGUUAUGGCCUUGGGUGAAAUGCCAAGGGGCUGAGCCGAUGGCUGCUGCCAGUUUUCCUUGGGCUGCCCUUGCCAGUGAAGCCGCGAGAAGAAGAAUGGCUAGGCAUGCCGCACCGUCUCUCAUGUGACCACGUAGGAAAGCGGUUUACAGAGGCGAACACCCAGAAUAGCAGACUUUCUUGUUUAAUAAACUGGAUCCCAGCGAGCGUUCAUCUGGGUGCUUUUGGAAGUGACAGAGGCUGCGGCUCUUUUGGGACCAGAAGUCUUUGGGAUGGCCAUGCCGGCCUGAGGACAGAGGGUAUGCACGUGCCAUCAAAGCUCGAUUACUGAAGACGCGCGUCCCCAGGAAGCUCUGCCUCACGCCCUCCUGAAAGUCCAGGGGCUCCCGGACGCCUCUGCCACAGUCCCGUGGCAUCUUUUCCUCCGUCCGGUCCACCCAUCGCCAGCCUUUCCUACACGUUCUCGAGAGAAACGAAGAUAGGGUUCUCCGUUCUUUUCGGAUACUUUUUUCUUUUACUCGGAGGAAUAUUUAGAAAAUUUGUUUCAGUUUUUGUCAUAUCUUCUUUGAACAGUUUCCUAAAGGUCUUCAAAAUCAUACUAAUUCAGUGCCAACAGUCAAAUGACUUUUUACUAACAUCUUUGUUUUAGAUAACUGGAGAGAACAAAAAAGCUCCAAUUUCAGUUUAAU
rnacentral:lncRNA from 1 species